UGGGGAAUCUUGCCCAAUGGGCGCAAGCCUGAGGCAGCGACGCCGCGUGGGGGAAGAAGGCCUUCGGGUUGUAAACCCCUUUCAGGAGGGACGAAGCCACUCGGGUUAAUAGCCCAGAGGGUGACGGUACCUCCAGAAGAAGCCCCGGCUAACUACGUGCCAGCAGCCGCGGUAAUACGUAGGGGGCAAGCGUUGUCCGGAUUUAUUGGGCGUAAAGAGCGUGUAGGCGGCCAGACAGGUCCGUUGUGAAAACUCGAGGCUCAACCUCGAGACGUCGACGGAAACCGUCUGGCUAGAGUCCGGAAGAGGAGUGUGGAAUUCCUGGUGUAGCGGUGAAAUGCGCAGAUAUCAGGAAGAACACCUAUGGCGAAGGCAGCACUCUGGGACGGUACUGACGCUGAGACGCGAAAGCGUGGGGAGCGAACAGG
rnacentral:rRNA from 1 species